UACGAAGGGGGCUAGCGUUGUUCGGAAUUACUGGGCGUAAAGCGCGCGCAGGCGGUCUUCCAAGUCAGUGGUGAAAGCCCGGAGCUCAACUCCGGAACUGCCAUUGAAACUGUUAGACUUGAGGACGAGAGAGGUGAGUGGAAUUCCCAGUGUAGAGGUGAAAUUCGUAGAUAUUGGGAAGAACACCAGUGGCGAAGGCGGCUCACUGGCUCGUUUCUGACGCUCAGGCGCGAUAGCGUGGGGAUCAAACAGG
rnacentral:rRNA from 1 species